rnacentral:lncRNA from 1 species
CAACAACAACAACAACAACAACAACAAAAACAACAAGAACAACAACAACAAGAACAACAAGAACAACAACAACAACAACAACAACAACAACAACAACAACAACAACAACAACAAUGACGACGACGACAACGACAACGACAAUGAUGACGACAACAACAACAACAACAACCACAACAUCAAAAAUAACCACAACAACAACAACAACAGCA